rnacentral:lncRNA from 1 species
UUUGUUGACACCUGCCUCUUUAUUGCAUCUCCAAGUUCUGGUUGUUCGUCCUUUAAGAAAAGCCUCUUGGCUGAAGAGCAAGAUGAUGAAGUAGAAGCAAGAGGAUAUUCUCUGGUCAUGUGGGAGGCUCUCAUGGCUACACAACCUGAAUCCUCACCAUGAACAGCUUUGAGGAGAAAGGGAGCAACUGGGGCAGAGAAAAAUGGACACAACCUCCCAUGAGUCCACCAAAUGCCUCCACAGACUCUUUAAAAACUCUGUAUUCACUGAUAUACACCCAGUGUCCCUUAUCCAGCAUAGCAUCUUCGGUUUCUUUGCGGAGGGAAGAGGAGACUGACCUUCUUAAAACAGAGAAACAUAGCAGAGUUAUCCAACACAUGAAAUUAUACUUCCAAAAAUCAGAGAUGUUCUCCAGUACUCAUUAAUGUUAGCCAGAAAUAGAAAUAAUAUAAACCUUGGCCAUUCUCCCAGCUGAGUGUCCUAAUAAUAGAAAUGCCCCUCUGACUGAGUAGCUGAUACUGGGAUUCUGCCAAGUGAUUUCCAUUAAAAAGAGCCAUUGGUGACAGACGUCCAGUACAAUAUCAUUGGUGGAGUUCUGCUUGUCUUUCUUAGUGCACUGCUGGCAUGAGCAAGAGGAGGUCUAUUUCCCAUGUCCUGUUUUCAGUUCUCUUUCUGUAAUUAGCACUUUCCUGAUGUCUCUGCUCUUCAUGAGGUCUCUCCAAAGCCUUCUUGUCCUUACUUUCCAGUUAUACUAUGUCUGUGCACAAACACUGCAAACAAAUUCACCCUCUCACCCUUGCAGCAGCUUGUAGGAAGCCUUCCAAACCUAUGUGACUGAGCUGGGGAGCAGGGCUGUGUGCAACGCAAUGCUGGUAGAUAAGUUUUUUCCAUAUUUAUUAUUUUACAAAGGUCUCUUCUUCCAUCUAGCCUAGAGGAAGAAUUGCUAGUGAAAUUGAGGGCAGCUAGUAAACCUAUCAGGUUGUAGUGGCUAGAGAUGAAAGAUAUGCACAAACAGGUCACAAAAGUCACUGUUAGAAAACACCACUGUAAAAACAAAGGAUCCAAAAACCUCUAAAAAGUGAUUUGCACAAGCUAUGAUAACAGUAUUUAAACAGCUAUAAUGUAUGUCAUCUUGAACUACUCCAAGGAUCAAAGCUGUUCACAGCUUAAUCGAUAUUCUUGGACCUGCGCGUUUCUGCAAGGCAAGACUCCUUGUUCUUUAGAGGAAACCUGGAAAGUUGGGUGGCUUCUCCAGGCAUUGGUGCCGUAGGGAACCUCCUUGGCCAUGUCUGGGGUUUUUGGAACCUGUCUGUGUCAUUGUGGCUCCUUUGCCAGCAAAAGGUGCAGGGAAAGGCUGAAGAGCUCAUCAUUCAUUUUUUCCCUUCUGUUUUACAAAUAUCAGCUCAGAUUUUAAUUUGCAGAAGUGAUGUACCUCAAUAGUACUCCCAAUCACAUUUUAUGCCAGGCUUUUCUGAUGUGACCCAAAAACCUUAUCAGAGAGCACUGGGCAGAAUGUCUGCUUAGCAAAACUCACCACAGAUACAUCUGAGUGCUGCCAUUUGCAGGAUACCAGAUCCAUGCCUCGACUAUUUCAGAUGACAUAUGUGUUUAAUCCGUGGCAGUAUAUUAGCAGAUCAGACUUAGAUUAAUCAGGCUGAAGGUAACUUUUGGAUCUUUUCCACAAUUAGGUCAGAGAUAAAUAUGGUAGAUUGUUAUGUGCCACAACACAAGCAAGCACUGGGCAGCAGGUGAAAUUUUCAGGGACAUCAGCCAACGAGAUACUGUGAUGAGAUUAAGGGGAGCAAAGUCAAUAG